rnacentral:rRNA from 1 species
GUGUCAGCCGCCGCGGUAAUACGUAGGGUGCGAGCGUUAAUCGGAAUUACUGGGCGUAAAGCGCGCGUAGGCGGCCUAGCAAGUCCGCUGUGAAAGCCCCGGGCUUAACCUGGGAAUGGCAGUGGAAAAUAUGGGACUUGAAUCUGGCAGAGGGGGGUGGAAUGCCACGUGUAGCAGUGAAAUGCGUAGAGAUGUGGCGGAACACCGAUGGCGAAGGCAGCCCCCUGGGCUAAGAUUGACGCUCAGGCACGAAAGCGUGGGGAGCAAACAGGAUUAGAUACCCUUGUAGUCC